ACUGUGAAACUGCGAAUGGCUCAUUAAAUCAGUUAUGGUUUCUUUGAUGGUACCUUGCUACUUGGAUACCCGUAGUAAUUCUAGAGCUAAUACAUGCAGGACUGCCCGACUUCGGAAGGGCUGUAUUUAUUAGAUAAGAAACCAUCUCGGGUCCGCCCGGUUGUGUGCUGAGUCAUAAUAACUGCUCGAAUCGCACGGCUCUACGCCGGCGAUGGUUCAUUCAAAUUUCUGCCCUAUCAGCUUUCGAUGGUAGGAUAGAGGCCUACCAUGGCGUUAACGGGUAACGGAGAAUUAGGGUUCGAUUCCGGAGAGGGAGCCUGAGAAAUGGCUACCACAUCCAAGGAAGGCAGCAGGCGCGUAAAUUGCCCGAAUCCUGACACAGGGAGGUAGUGACAAGAAAUAACAAUACAGGGCUACUUCUAGUCUUGUAAUUGGAAUGAGUACAACUUACAUCUCUUCACGAGGAUCAAUUGGAGGGCAAGUCUGGUGCCAGCAGCCGCGGUAAUUCCAGCUCCAAUAGCGUAUAUUAAAGUUGUUGCAGUUAAAAAGCUCGUAGUCGGAUUUCGGGUCGGGCCGAGCGGUCUGCCGAUGGGUAUGCACUGUUUGGCGCGGCCUUCUUUCCGGAGACCGCGGCUACUCUUAACUGAGCGGGCGUGGGAGACGGAUCGUUUACUUUGAAAAAAUCAGAGUGUUUCUAGCAGGCAGCUCGCUCUUGCAUAGGUUAGCAUGGGAUAAUUUAAUAGGACUCUGGUGCUAUUUUGUUGGUUUCGAACACCGGAGUAAUGAUUAAAAG
rnacentral:rRNA from 1 species